UCUUCAUUUUACACACUGUCUCACUGGUCAGAAAAGCGAGAGAGUGUGCGAAAUGAAGAGA
rfam:Pristionchus pacificus strain PS312 contig10492, whole genome shotgun sequence.